UUGGACCCGAAAUCCUAAUGAAUAUU
rnacentral:tRNA from 1 species